rnacentral:rRNA from 1 species
GACGUAGGGUGCGGGCGUUGUCCGGAUUUAUUGGGCGUAAAGAGCUCGUAGGCGGCUCGUCGCGUCAGCUGUGAAAACCGGCAGCUUAACUGUGGGCUUGCAGCUGAUACGGGCGGGCUAGAGUUCGGUAGGGGAGACUGGAAUUCCUGGUGUAGCGGUGAAAUGCGCAGAUAUCAGGAGGAACACCGGUGGCGAAGGCGGGUCUCUGGGCCGAUACUGACGCUGAGGAGCGAAAGCGUGGGGAGCGAACAGG